GCCGCGGUAAUACGGAGGGUGCAAGCGUUAAUCGGAAUUACUGGGCGUAAAGCGCACGCAGGCGGUUUGUUAAGUCAGAUGUGAAAUCCCCGGGCUCAACCUGGGAACUGCAUCUGAUACUGGCAAGCUUGAGUCUCGUAGAGGGGGGUAGAAUUCCAGGUGUAGCGGUGAAAUGCGUAGAGAUCUGGAGGAAUACCGGUGGCGAAGGCGGCCCCCUGGACGAAGACUGACGCUCAGGUGCGAAAGCGUGGGGAGCAAACAGGAUUAGAUACCCUGGUAGUCCACGCCGUAAACGAUGUCGACUUGGAGGUUGUGCCCUUGAGGCGUGGCUUCCGGAGCUAACGCGUUAAGUCGACCGCCUGGGGAGUACGGCCGCAAGGUUAAAACUCAAAUGAAUUGACGGGGGCCCGCACAAGCGGUGGAGCAUGUGGUUUAAUUCGAUGCAACGCGAAGAACCUUACCUGGUCUUGACAUCCACGGAAGUUUUCAGAGAUGAGAAUGUGCCUUCGGGAACCGUGAGACAGGUGCUGCAUGGCUGUCGUCAGCUCGUGUUGUGAAAUGUUGGGUUAAGUCCCGCAACGAGCGCAACCCUUAUCCUUUGUUGCCAGCGGUCCGGCCGGGAACUCAAAGGAGACUGCCAGUGAUAAACUGGAGGAAGGUGGGGAUGACGUCAAGUCAUCAUGGCCCUUACGACCAGGGCUACACACGUGCUACAAUGGCGCAUACAAAGAGAAGCGACCUCGCGAGAGCAAGCGGACCUCAUAAAGUGCGUCGUAGUCCGGAUUGGAGUCUGCAACUCGACUCCAUGAAGUCGGAAUCGCUAGUAAUCGUGGAUCAGAAUGCCACGGUGAGUACGUUCCCGGGCCUUGUACACACCGCCCGUCACACCAUGGGAGUGGGUUGCAAAAGAAGUAGGUAGCUUAACCUUCGGGAGGGCGCUUACCACUUUGUGAUUCAUGACUGGGGUGAAGUCGUAACAAGGUAACCAAUCGAUUCCCGCGG
rnacentral:rRNA from 1 species